ensembl:snRNA U6 U6 spliceosomal RNA
GGUGACAUGUGACUGUAUCCGAAAACUGGAACAAUAUAGAGAAAAUUAGCAUGCCCCUUGUGCAAGGAUGACAUGCAAAUUCAUGAAUCGUUCCAUAUUUUU